AACGCGAAGAACCUUACCCAGACUUGACAUGUACUAGACGAUAGCAGAAAUGUUAUUUCCCUUCGGGGCUGGUACACAGGUGCUGCAUGGCUGUCGUCAGCUCGUGCCGUGAGGUGUUUGGUUAAGUCCAGCAACGAGCGCAACCCUUAUCAUUAGUUGCCAACACGUUAAGGUGGGAACUCUAAUGAGACUGCCCGGGUUAACCGGGAGGAAGGUGAGGAUGACGUCAAGUCCGCAUGGCCCUUAUGUCUGGGGCUACACACGUGCUACAAUGGUCGGUACAGAAGGCAGCGAAGCCGCGAGGUGAAGCAAAUCCAAAAAGCCGAUCUCAGUUCAGAUUGUAGUCUGCAACUCGACUACAUGAAGACGGAAUUGCUAGUAAUGGCAGGUCAGCAACACUGCCGUGAAUACGUUCCCGGGCCUUGUACACACCGACUGUAC
rnacentral:rRNA from 1 species